GACGUAGGGGGCCAGCGUUGUUCGGAAUUACUGGGUGUAAAGGGUUCGUAGGCGGUGCGGCAAGUUGGGAGUGAAAUCUCUGGGCUUAACCCAGAGGCUGCUUCCAAAACUGCUGUGCUUGAGUGUGGGAGAGGCGCGUGGAAUUGCAGGUGUAGCGGUGAAAUGCGUAGAUAUCUGCAGGAACACCCGUGGCGAAAGCGGCGCGCUGGACCACUACUGACGCUGGGAACGAAAGCUAGGGGAGCAAACAGG
rnacentral:rRNA from 1 species